AUUGAACGCUGGCGGCAUGCCUUACACAUGCAAGUCGAACGGCAGCACGGGUGCUUGCACCUGGUGGCGAGUGGCGAACGGGUGAGUAAUACAUCGGAACAUGUCCUGUAGUGGGGGAUAGCCCGGCGAAAGCCGGAUUAAUACCGCAUACGAUCCACGGAUGAAAGCGGGGGACCUUCGGGCCUCGCGCUAUAGGGUUGGCCGAUGGCUGAUUAGCUAGUUGGUGGGGUAAAGGCCUACCAAGGCGACGAUCAGUAGCUGGUCUGAGAGGACGACCAGCCACACUGGGACUGAGACACGGCCCAGACUCCUACGGGAGGCAGCAGUGGGGAAUUUUGGACAAUGGGCGAAAGCCUGAUCCAGCAAUGCCGCGUGUGUGAAGAAGGACUUCGGGUUGUAAAGCACUUUUGUCCGGAAAGAAAUCCUUGACUCUAAUACAGUCGGGGGAUGACGGUACCGGAAGAAUAAGCGCCGGCUAACUACGUG
rnacentral:rRNA from 1 species